rnacentral:rRNA from 1 species
GUGAGGAAUAUUGCGCAAUGGAGGCAACUCUGACGCAGCCAUGCCGCGUGCAGGAAGAAGGCGCUACGCGUUGUAAACUGCUUUUAACCGGGAAGAAACCCCAGGACGUGUCCUGGGUUGACGGUACCGGAGGAAUAAGCACCGGCUAACUUCGUGCCAGCAGCCGCGGUAAUACGAAGGGUGCAAGCGUUAUCCGGAUUCAUUGGGUUUAAAGGGUGCGUAGGCGGAGCGUUAAGUCAGUGGUGAAAUCCUGCAGCUUAACUGUAGACUUGGCAUUGAUACUGGCGCGCUUGAGUGCGCUUGAAGUGGGCGGAAUGUGCCGUGUAGCGGUGAAAUGCUUAGAUAUGGCACAGAACACCAAUUGCGAAGGCAGCUCACUAAGGCGAUACUGACGCUGAGGCACGAAAGCGUGGGGAUCGAACAGGAUUAGAAACCCCGGUAGUCC